rnacentral:lncRNA from 1 species
CAGAUCAUCCCUUAGUAUAAUAGUGGAAGUAGUUACUAACAAUGGUUAAGAAAACAAGACACCUCCAUCUCCCACUUGUCUAAUGGUAUCAUCAAUAACGUGAAGGAAUGAGAUUACAUAAAGGUGAGCCCCUCUUGCCUAGCACAAGCACUGUGCUCAACUGCUUCCCACAACUGAGCUGCAAUGCUGGAAGCUUCCAGGUACCCCAGCUGUGACAGCAGCCUGCUCUGCGCUCAUCUACAUGACUGAAAAACCAAGGUGCUGUGAGGGAUUCACAGGAUACAGGACUGGCCAUACAAGGCAGAACACCAGGAGCAUCAAUCUGAUGUUCACCUUGAGUCACUUCUGAAAACCAAGCCACCUCCAUACCUGCCAGCAGAAGUACCUGCUGCCUUUGUUCAUUGUCCUUCAGAGCAGAGGCAAGGAUUCACAUUCCUAUUGUUUCUUCUCCUCGCUGUGAAGUACGGCGUACAACUGCAGCACUAAAUCACUGUACUUGAGGGCUCAUUCUGUUCUUAAUAUGCAGAUCUUAUCAAAAUAUAUUAGUACCAUCAAGUAGAAAAUUGAUAUCUCUAUGUUUCUUCAGAUAGCACAUACCCUUUAUAACUCUGUAAGAGUUCUGCACCCUACAAUUUAUCAUAUAGUAUGCUAUAAUCAAAAACAUCAAUCUUUUUAAGGCUGUUGAAUGCCUAAUGCCUCAUUCACCAUCCUUAUUAACCAGAGGUUAGAAUAUAAACAUAAACUAAGUACAUAACAGUAAGAGC